AAUAAGAUGCCUGAUAAAAAGGACUACUUUGAUAGAAUAGAUAAUGCAUAGUUUAUGCUCUUAUUA
rnacentral:tRNA from 2 species